rnacentral:lncRNA from 1 species
UUUCUCUUUUCCUUGGGGUUGACCUUUUAUCACUCUCUUUCGCCUCAAUUUUUCAAGCUCUUAUAGCAUUCUCAAUCAUUUCACCUUUCAUAUUAUGUUAGAAAAGUUUUUUUUGCGCUUCCUAACAUAUGCGUAAUGAACGGGGCCUUCAGCGUAUUGAUGAAGAGCAUUGUCGUCUCUUUCUCCAAGAGGGGUGGCUGAACUAGGACUGCAACCUCCCUCCACCUUUGUGCAUACUGCCUAAAACUUUCGCUCGAUUUCUUUUCCAAAUUUUGCAAGGUGAUUCUAUCGGGAACCACAUGCGUUACAUAACCGUAUUGUUUCAUGAAUGCAUGUGCUAGGUCCCUUCAUGAACCAAUCUCGUUACGGCUCAACUGAUUGUACCAUUUGGACGCUGCCCCUACCAAACUGUCUUGGAAGCAGUGUAUUAGCAGCUGAUCAUUGUUAGUGUAGCCAGUCAUUCUUCUACAGAACAUGGUGAUAUGGGCUUCGGGACAGCUAGUUCCAUUUUAUUGUUCAAAUUCAGGCAUCUUAAACUUGUAAGGGAGUACUAAAUCUGAAACCAAGCUCAGAUCUUUUGCAUCGAUUCCAUGGUGACUGUCGGCGUUUUCCAAGGCUUUCAAUUUUUCCUCCAACCAUUUACACCUAUCCUCCCAUUGUUUUGACAAUUCGACGUUUGCCUUCUCUUUUUCAACCAUUUCAUCGAAAUCAGGAAUAACAAGAUUCACUGGGUUAUCUCUAGGAUUAAAACCUGAUCCAGCCUCAGUCUGAAUCUGCGCAUGCAGAGGCAUAAAGCCUAGAGGAUAGAUAGGUCUAUCAUUGUCUUCUCCUUCAUCAUUAACCAUAGGAUAUUUCCCCUUAUUAAUUCCUUUUAGUAUUGCGUCAGCUCAGUCAUCACGUCAUUUUGAGACUCCCGCAUCCUUUCUCUCAUGUCCUGUUGAAUUUUUUCCAAUUGCUCCUUCAUUUGUUUCUGUAGCUGAUCUUGCAUUUCUUUUUGCAUUUGCUCCAAUUUCUCUAAUCUUUGGUCCAUUUCCUUACUCUUUCGACGAGUACCGUAUUGAUGCUUAAUGGGUGAGCUUUUGUCGGUUUCCAGAUUAGGUGAAAUAAAUUUACUCAAUCAGACUCUUUCAAUGGACUUUGAUGCAUACGAUGCAGAUGUAUGAAAUGCAUGCCUAAAGAGACGUUGAUUCUGAUUCAAUUACAUUUAGGAAACUUUUCUAGAAAGUAAAUUCCUUUACAUAAAACAGAUACAUGUACGGCCUCACCCUCAUAUUCUAAGAAACAACAUCGAUAUUUUUCUUCAUCCGCAUGUUGGAGAUAAUCUCGCCAAUUUCUAAUAGAUGCCACUCCUAGCUCUUUGUCUCGAUCUUGGUCGCGAUCCAUCACCUACCCAUCUUCAUAAGGCUCGUCAGCUUCUUUAAGGGAGUUUGAACGUCGAAGGCUCUUAGACAAUCGCCUUGAAUCCUCAGGCCACGAAGUAAGGUCACGAACUCUUCCAUGUGUUUUUCAGAAUAUAUUAAGGUAGCCGCAUUAUUUUCCACUUUAUCAAGGAAUCCGUAUUCCAUGACAAGCUUUCUAAUUUAGUAAUUGGACUUGAAUCAAUAUCUCUUUCCUAAGAUGCAAAUGCAAUGCAAUCACAAUCAAAACACAACAAAAGGGGUUAGUACAAAACAGAAGUAAACAAGGAAAACAGAAAGUACCUAAUCAGGUAACCACUAGGGAUUUGGAGUGGCUUUACCUAGGUUAAGUUCCUAAGUCCACUAUAUGAGGUUUGGUUCUAAAGUCAAGGUACCCGAACCAGCAGAUUCCUCAAUCCUCACCCAUUAUAGGCUCAUACACACCGAGUUCGAUUCAGGGAAAUACAUUUCCCUAUGGCUGCACGAAGAUGAAAAUCUCACGAAGACGAAAAUCUCACGAAGACAUAGGUACGGAUGUAUUCCGAAAGUGAUUUACUAUCCUGCACGGAGGUGAAAACCUCACGAAGGAGUAGCUUCUCACUUCCACUUAGAGGGGUAAGACCAAAAUAGCCUUUAUGCAAUAUGAUGCCAAAGUAUAAAACACAAUUUACAAUAAACCUACAAACACAUGCAAAGAGAGGAUCGUAAUUUUUCAAAUCGACUUUUCAAUUUUCGAUAAUAAGAUAGAAAACAAUCAAUUUACGGCUUGACUCUAUAUACUCCCCAGUGGAGUUACCAAGCUGUCGAAACCACUUUUCAAGUUUGAAAAAAAUGGGGAUCGGCUUUUGAAAAUAAAAUAGGAGUCACCACCGAUCUUUUUUAAAGUGUGAUCGGUUCACCAUUAAAAAUAAAUUUUAGGUCUGCGAGAUUUGAGAAAAUAGGUCCGGGAGUCGGUUACGCACGAGGAAGGGUUAGCACCCUCGUAACGCCCAAAAUUGGUACCGAAUCGAUUGUUAAUGCCUUAAUGUCAAAAUUUUGAAAAGAUUUUAAAAUACGAUCCUUUUAUUUUGAAUAAAAUGAAUUGGAGGAUAAAGCUCAUUUAUUUUAAAGAAAUAGAUUGUCAUACUCAGUAAGUUAAGUGCAACAUUUCGAAUCCUCAAAAUUAAGUUUGACUUUUAAAACCUAUGCACUUUGAGAAGGAUAUUUGAUUAUUUGGGUCAAAUGAGAAAAUCAAACCCAGUAAGUUAGGAUUCGAUUUCACAAAAUUCUUAAAUAUCGAACAUUGCCUUUAUUUUCAUUCGCUGGAAAAAUCCUCGUCUCGAGAAAAUAAUGUGUCAUAUCCAAUGCGUUAGGACACCACGUAUCGAAUUCUCGGGAAUGAGCCUUUUAUGUUUUGAUUAAAGCAUAUUCUCGAUUAUUUAGAUUCGACGAAGAGAAUUGGAACCCAAUAUGUUAGGGCUCAAUUCUCGCAGAUUCCAAAUGUCGAGUAUUUGCUUUAUUUUGAAAGUUUUUUUUGAAUAAAACGAUUUUGAUGUUUAAACGAUAUUAGACGUAAUCUUUUGAACGAAAAAAAAUGAUUGAAUAAUAAUGUACAACACGAAAAGAUAACUCAUAAUCCUAAAAAGCAUGCUAAUGAACUCGUGUAAUCUAUCAACAUAAACGAAAUGAUAUAAUGUACAUAACCUCCAUAAUCACAUAUCUCAAACCAUGCAAACAUAAUUACCAACAUUAAAAAACAUAACAUUGACAAUUAAUCCUUAAGUACCAAAAAACAAGAGGAUAAAUGAUAAUCAAUAAAUUACGAACAUCGAAAUUUAAAAGAAAUAUGUAUAUGAACUUGUAUUAGAUUCCAAAUAGAGUUAAUAAAACAUACUCUAUAUAAGUAAUAGUUUUAAGGUCUACAAAAAUAAUGUAUGUGUAUAUAAAAAUGAAUUCGAAAGAAAAUAUAUAAGAAAAUCUAAAGGGGAAAAUUAAAGGUAAUAACUAGAAUAGUAUGAAAUCAAUGAUAUAUAUAUAAUAAAAAUAAUUUAAUAUAAAUUGUAUACAUGAAAAUAUAAAAAUAUUAAAUAAGGAUACUAUCAUAUAAAUCUUUGAAGAUGAAAUGUAUAAAAGUGGCCUUUUUAAAAAUACAUUAUAAGAUAGAAGUUAUUAAAAUAUAUUGUAUUGGAUUAAACAAUGAAAUAAUUCAUCACCAACUUUAAAUAAUAAUGUAUGAUAAUAAAAUAAAGAAUUUAAAAAAACAUCGCAUAAUAAAGUGAUAUAUAUAAAAAUUAAGUAACCGAAAAUGUAACUAAGUAUGAUAAUAAUGUUAAUAACAAUAACAAAUAAUAAUAAAAAAUUAGUAUUAAACUAAUUAAUAAAAAAAUGGACUAAUUUGGAAUUAAAACAGAAAUCUAGGAAUAAAUCUGAAAUAAAUAAAAAAGAAAGGACUAAACUGAAGCGCGCGAAUAACACGCGGGAUCAAAAGGGGAAAUAAUCCCAACACCUCGAAACGCAGCACUAUGAGAAAGACUAGAGUGAAACAACAAUGAAAUAUGCGGGGAAAAUUUAAAAAAUAAAGGAAAAUCGGAUUAAAACACUGAAACAAAACCGGAGGUCCGAUGGCACAAAUAUUCCCUCCAAGACCAAAGCAUGUGGGUCUGGCCACGUCCGGAUCGGGUCAUCAGGCACGAGCCAAUACGGCGUCGUUUUGAGGCCACUGAAGCAGGCCUUAAACGGCGUCGUUUUUCACACAAUAAAUAUCCUACUUUAACCCUAAAAUCAGCAGUGAACAGCCUUAAACAGAUUAAAAAAACUAAACGUUUCUCCCCCCAUUCCGAAAUCGCGCCGCUCAAAAAAAAUUGGCCCAGAGGCCUUUGAACCGUCGUCCGACUCCGAUUGCGAUGGAGCAGACGAAGAUCUGGCCAAACAGGUAAAACCCCUCGCCCUCUCACCUUAUUUUCACUCGAUUAAUAGAACAGAAAAUGAAAAGUCUAGAGAAAAAAAAAACGGAAGAAAGAAAGAAAGGGAAUCAAGUCACCUUUCAAAAAACUCUUUGUUCUUCUCUUUUUUCUUUUUUUUUUUGUACAUUGAUAUUCUGUAAUAAAAAAAAGGGUCCUUUUACAUUGUUUUUCUCCCUUUUUAUAGCCAGAGGUAAAAUGAAAAUACAAAUACAAUCAUCAUAAAAAUUCUAAUUUAUUUUUGCUAUUACUUUUUUUUCUAUUGCCUAUUUUCUUUGCUGUGUUUUCUGUUAUUGUUGCGUUCGUUGUCGUCUGCUUGUUUUGCAGGUAUCGUACGAGGACGUCGCACGGCUCGGCGCGGCGUAUGGACGGAGGUGUGCGGGCGUGCGUGUACGGAGGCUCGUGCGUGAGGAGCAGCUUGGCAACGGCAGCUUAGUUUGCUGCCCAGGGUUUCAGAUUUCCCCAUGUUAGGCUAAUUUGGGCUUGUAUUUUUUAUUUGGGCCUGGGCUGGUAAUUUGGGGCUGGGGUUAAUGGGUUUAGUUUACUGGGCCUUGUAACUAGACUAUCUUGGACUGUUAUUAAUUUGUUUUGUUUAUAUUUUUAUUAUGGGCCAGGCAAAUUGGGUUAUUACAGUGUCGAUCACCUGUUUGUUGGAUAGAAUUGAGUGAAAGAAGAAUGAUCGGGUCGGAAUUAAUUCAAGAAACAGAAGACAACUUUUGAUAGACAUAAAUCAUAUACAGAUUUGAAACAUUGAGAUAUUGAAUAUUCUGUUGGCGAUAAAGUAUUUCUUCAAGUUUCGCCUUGGAAGAAAAUUUUGAGAUUUGGUCGAAAAAGGAAACUGAGUCCUCGUUUAUUGGACCGUAUGAGAUCACAGAAAGAGUGGGACCAGUUGUGUAUCAUUUAGCUUUGCCUGCGGAACUACAAAAAAUUCAUGAUGUUUUUUACGUUUCAAUACCUAGAAGAUAUCGAUCAGAUCCAUUUCAUGUUAUUUCGACAGAAGAUAUUAAAAUUCAACCUGGUUUGUCAUAUUAAGAAGAACCGAUUGAGAUUUUGGCACGUGAGGUGAAAGAAUUACGUAAUAAGCGAGUUCUGUUAAUGAAAGUGUUUUGGCGUAGUCAUAGUGUUGAAAAAGCGACUUGGGAACCGGAAGAGACUAUGAGAUCUGAGUACCCCCACCUCUUUUCAGGUAAAUUUCAGGGACAAAAUUUAAUUAGGGGGAGAAUUGUAACAACCCGAUAGUUUGGGUUGUCGAAAAGUACAAUUUUGGGACACUAUUUUCGUAAAUCGAACUCGUAAAAAUUUAUUAAAAAUAUUUUCGAAGUUAGUUGUGUAGUUAAUUAGGUUUUAGUUAAGUGAAUUUGCAUGAAUUAAGAGUAAUUAUGUAUAAGGACUAAAUUGCAUAUAGGGUGAAAGUUGAAUUAUAGAUUAAAGAAUAAUUAAAGGGACUAAAAAAGUAAUUAUGCCAUUGUUCUUUAAUGAGGCAGUAUAACGUGUAAAAUUAUUAUAUAUAUUAUGAAUAAAUUAAAGUUAAAAUAUAUAUUAUAAUAUGUUUUACUUAAUAUUUAAGUAAAUAUAUAUUAUAGUAAUAAAAGAAAUAAAGAAAGACAGAAGCAAAACGAAACAGAAAGAAAGAAAAAGAAAAAGAGAAAGAAAGAAUAACCCACGGCAUAAGGGUUUCAAAGGUCCAAGUUCAUUUGGUUAGUCAAUUUAGUCCUCUUUUCUUGUAAUCUUUAUGUUUUUAGAAUCCCGGUGUUAAGUACUACCCGACUCAUGUCAAAAUUUUAGCAAUUAUUGAGUUUUUAAAUGUUGUUAAUGUUGAAUAAUUUUUGUAUUAGGGAUUAAAUUGAUAGAUUUUUAAGUUAGAAAUGAAAAAAAGAUUAAAUUGUAGAAUGAAUUGUAAAUUUUGAGUAAUAGGGACUAAAUUGUAAAAAAUUAAAAAUUUAUGGAUUUAAGUGAAAAUAGGGAGUUAAAUUUAGUUUAAAGUGGAAAUUGUAUGAAAAUAUAAAAUUAAUUGUGAAGAAUAAAAGUUAGUCUCGGUUUAGGGACUAAAUUGGAAUUUAGAAAAAUAUUGAAUAAAAAUUGGAAUAUUCAAUAUGAAAUUGAAUUGUGUUGUAUUGAUGAAUUUUAAUUGUUUUAAUUUCAUAGAUAACGUCGUACCGGAAUCCUCAACUAAAAAGGGGAAAGAUAAAGUUGACGUGGAAUAGCUCGGAAUUCUUGGUUUGUAUUUCUAUAAUCCGAAACUAGUUAUUAAUUGUUGUAUUUUUUAUUUAAUGCAUAUGGUAAUUGUUGAGGUUAGUAUUUGGCACUUUGACAUUGAAUUGAAUUAAAAUUUGAUUGAAUUGGUGUAAUUGAUAUAUAUAUUAUGAAUAAAUUGAUUAUUUGAAUUGAAAUGAAUAUAUAUGUGCAAAUAUGAUAAUUGAAUAUUUGUUGUAUUUGGAAAGUGAAAUUAAACCCUAUUAACUAUAUGGGCUGCGUUGGAUAUAGAUGGCAUGCUAUAGGAUUGGAAGAGUUCAGGGAUUUCUUCAACUUCGAGUCAAUGAGGCACUGGAUGCCAAUUUACUUCGGUUUAACCGAUGAAACACUGGGUGUCAAAUUUAUAUAGCGCUGGGUGCAGUUAUUACUUCGGAUAUAUCUGAUGAGGCACUAGGUGCCAAACUGGUAUGUUGGUUGGAUCCGUGUAUCCGUCCGAGUCCAAGUCGUGUUAAUAGGGGUAAUUAAAUAAAAUAGUACUAUGAUUGAUAUUGGAUGAUAUUGUAUGUGAAUGAAAAUGGGAUAGUGAAUUGAAACAUGAAAAUGAGACACAUGAAUUACGUAUUCAUGAAUUGGAUAUGGAUUGAAUAAUAUUAUUGUUUAAAUGAUAUAUAUAUAUUAAAUUGUGAAAAGCUACUAUAUAGCAAGUGAUGAGAUUUGAGAAUGGUAUGAAAUGAUGUAUUUAUGAUUUGAAUAUUGAAUGGCUAAUGCAAUUGUAUGAAUAAAUAUGGUCUUAAAUAUUCAAAUGUGCUUAUAAUUAAAAUAUGCAUAUUAUAUUAUAUUGUCUUUAAAUAUUUGGAUUAUAGAAAUACCACUGAGUUUUACUCAGCGUACGGUUUUGUUUUCUUUGCGCAGAUUAGGUACUUCAAUUUUGAUUGCCGAUUCAGCAUCCAACAACGCUCCCGAACUCAAACGUGGUGAUGAUUACUCUUUUGCGUCAGCAUGUACUUAGGGUGUCUAAAUAAUAGUUAUUUUGUGGAUUGAAUGUAAACGAGAUUAUAAGUUUAAUAAUGGUUGGUUUUAUACAUAUAAAUAUGCGUUUGUUUUUUAAGACAUAUUAUGGCAUGGUAAAUUGAACUAAAUCUAGAUAGGUGCAUGUGAAAUUAAUUCUAUGUUUAAGUGCUCAUGAACUAGGAAAAUUGAUUUGGAUUUGGUAUGUUUAUAAUUGGAUUAAAAUAAUGCUUUGAUGACUUGUUUUGAUGACAUGAAAUGUUUGAGAAUUCUGCCUGUUUGAUCGAUAAACUUUGGUAAUGCUUCGAAACUCUAUUCCGGUGACGGAUAUGGGUUAGGGGUGUUACACUAAAAUUGCAAUUUGACCAUUCACCUUAAUAAUACAAAAAAAAAAAGAGACGAUGACCCAUUAUAUAUAAGUGAGGAAAAAAGGACCAAAAUUGAAAAUUUACCAUUUUUGUAUGAUGAAAAAAGUAACACAUGUCAACAAAGAAGGUCCUUUGAGCUUUUGUAUAUAGUUAUACAGAUUUAUGUGUAGAGGCAAUUGAAUGUCAGCAUCUAACUUCAUCGCUUUGUGUAUCUACUGACUUUGUUUUCUCUUUUCAAUAACAAUAAUGGUAUGUAUUUGAUAAUGGAGUUUUAGUUUAGUUGAUAAUAUUAUGUAAGAAUAAAAAUAUUGAUACGAAUAUGUAUUUUUUAUUUAAAGAUGGGUGAUUAAAUAGUAAUAACAGAAAUUUUAUAAAAACCAAUAAUGUAGAAAGAGCAGUAAAUAGUAAUUAUAAAAAGAGUUGAGGGAGGGCAGGGAAAAUAAUUGAAAUACAAACAACACAAAAACGGAUAAGAACAUAAAACAAGCGCAUUGUGGGACAAAUUAAAUACAAAAUAUUAGGAACUUUAAAUUUUAAAGAUAAAGUAUUGAAAGCAAAAUGCUAAAAUUCGAUAAGUAGUUAUUUUCACACUUUUUCAUUCAUUUAUUUCUUUAUUAUGAACUACCAAGUGUGCUUAAAAAUUAUAUCACUACAAAUAUUAAAUUUCAACUUAUUUAAUAUUUUAAUAGGUUAUCAAACAAAAUUAAAUUUUCAUUUAUGUACAAUGUUUACCAUAUGAUAAUGAAACACAAAUUACAAGUGUAGUAGGAAUAAGAGUAGGGGUGGGUGAAUCCAUUGCCUUUUUACAUAUCACCAAUUUCACCUAUAUAUACGUGGAUUGUCAUCCGGACGGCAUGUCAACAUUUAAUUAAAACUUUAAUUUUUUAAUAUAUUUAUAUAUUUUUUUAAUAAUUUUAACUUUUAGAAAACUUUAAAUAUUCUUUUUGAAUUUUUUAAUUUUAAAAAAUUAUUUCAAUGUUGAUGUGUCAUCCACAUGAUAAUCUAAAAGAAAACGUUAAUUUUUUUUGAUCUAUUUUAGAGUGAUUUGAUAAAAAAAAUUAAAAUUAAAUGAGGAACUAAAAUAAUUUUUUGUAAAAUUAGAAAACAAAUAAAUGAUUAUGCUAACUUAAAAUAUAUUUAAAAUUGAGUCCCUAAAAUUGAGAGGCGGUGUGAGGUUAGGUGAUCUAGCCAGCAAGCGUUGCAUCAUCGUACGCGUUAAAAACAAAACAUGUGAUGCUUGGUCGGCAUCUAAUUAGUGCAACUCAGUAUUUGAUACCCUAAACAAGAAUAUAAUGUUAAUGGUCAGAUUUUAGUUUUAAGUAAAUGACCUGUAAUUCCUUUAAAUUAUUUUCUUGGAGAACCAACUAUGAACACAUGCUUGUCUAUAAAAAGAAUAGAUAUAUCUACAAUUAACAGUUUCUUCCACAAAACUUGACACUGUUUACUAUUAUUUAUUGUUUUUAUAUGUUAAUUUUAAAAGAUAAUAUUUUUAAUAUCGGUGUAGUGGUGUGAUAAAAUCUAUUAAACAUUACUUCUUCUUUUUUAAUUUUUGAAUAAGAUUUAUAAUCUAAUUCAUUAACAAAUAAAAAAAUUGAGUAUCUAAAAUUCCAAUUUCAGUAAAAGAUUAUUAAUUAUUAAAUUUUAUCAGAUAUCAGUAAAAAAAUUAAUAUUUAGAUUAUAUUUAUACAAAAAAAUCUAAUAAAAAAUUGAGUUAUAGGUAAAAUAAUAAAUUUUCUUCAAGCUUAGGUUCAAACCUUCAUGCUUAAACAUAUUAUAUCAAUAUUCAAUUCUUUAUUAAAAAGGAUUUUUAAGUAAUUUCUAAAUUGAGUUGGUGUCGAGUUGAUUUGAUUUACGACACAAGCUUAGUCAACCUCAUUAUAUAAAUAUAGAUAUAGCCAAUGUUUUAAGAAUUGGAUCAAUGGUUGAAUCAAUUUGAUUACCAGACUUGGUUCAAUCGGUUUGACCAUUAAUUCAACAAUAAUUAAAUAAAGAAUUAAAAAAUCAUAGAAAUUAAAAAUUUUAAAAUUUUAAAAACCGGUUUGAUCGGUUCAAUCUUCAAUUUUUUUUCUUUCAAUUUUCAUUUUUUACCCAUUUCAAAUACUUUAUUCAAAGACCAAUUCGAUCCUUUGAUCUGAAUUGAUGUAUUAAUUGAUUUUCAACUCAACCCAUGGGUUCAAUUUGAAUUAACAACAUUAUAAUGCUUACUUGAUAUGAAUGUCUCAACUUCUAAAAGCAAAAUCAAAGGCAUCUAAGAAAGUAGUAAUUGAUAGAAUCUCUGAAACCAAAUUGAAUUCUUUUUAUUUGCACUUUUCUCGUUAAAACUUGUCCUAUGGCCAUUUGGUUCUGAUUUUUGUUUAAAAGAAUCUUAAUUAAAUUUAAAUGUAAAAACAUUUUUAUUAUUUUAUGUUAAUUUUAAGUUGUUUGUUAGUUGCAUGUUAAUAUGUAAUUCGUUACACAGUUUAGAACCAUUUCCUAUAAUUACGAGGCCUUGUCUAAAGAAUAAUUUAUUAUGAAUCAACAAUUUAAGUUGUGAUUUAGGUCUAAGUCGUUUACUUAAUUACAACCUCAAUCCUAUAUUUCAACUAAGAUCACUCUCCUCUAAAAUUUUCCUUAUAAAAGCUUAGUUACAAACAAGUAUUUUGCACUAAAAAAGAAAUUCUUCCCAUGAAUAAAAUAAGUGCUCUAUCUAAUUUCUACAUCACAAAAUAAAACAAAUCUUUAAUUAACAGGCAUUUUUUACUUGUAAUCCUCUAAAUAGUGUACUCGAAAUAUUCCUUAGUAGUUGCACUUCAAUUGGUCUUCUAUAAGACAUGAAAAAAGUAAAAAAAAAUAUUUAACAUUUGAACUUCUAUACAAAAGAAUCUCUUAGAACAUGAUAAGUGAAUUGUACUAGAACUCUUGGAAUUAUGUCCCAAAAUUGAUAUUCGUCAUAAUUCAAUUUAGCUAAUUGUUGCUCAAAGUCCUCGUAAAGUUGUAAGAAAAUAUAAUCACAAUAUUUGAGUUAAAAUAUGCGGGGAUAUAUGGCAAGUUGCUGAACUAUCCAGUUGCAAAGUGCGUUGAAUUGAUGGUGCAACUGAACUGUGCAGGGGUUUACUUAGCAAGAGGGUAUUGAUUACCAUGCCACAUUUUCUCCAAUUGCCAAACAAGUCACGGUUCACACUGUCAUUGCCCUUGCUGCUCACCAUGGAUGGCCAUUGUUUCGAAUGGAUGCUUACGAUGCUUUUUUACAAGGUGACUUACAUGAGGAAGUGUACAUGUUGCUUCCUCCCGGUUUUCGUACUCAGGGGGAGACUCAGAUUUGUCAACUACGAAAAUCACUUUAUGGAUUGAAUCAAGCAUCAAGAGAGUGGAACAUGAAGCUUACAGAGGCUCUUUUACUUUAUGGCUAUUCACAAAGUAAGCAUGACUAUUCUCUUUUUAUUAAGAGAGUUGAUGAUCGAAUUGUUAUCAUGCUUAUAUAUGUUGAUGAUUUAUUGAUAACCGAAAAUGAUGGAAUGUUUAUUGAUGAGUUGAAACAAGUGUUAAAUCAGAGUUUCAAGAUGAAAGAUUUGGGAGAGCUUAAGUAUUUUCUUGGCAUUGAAAUUUUCCGGUUAGGGAAUUGGGUUGUAUUGUAUCAAAGAAAGUAUGCUCUUGAAUUGAUUUCAGAUAUGGGGAUUAUUGGAGGGAAAGUAGCUGUUACCCCUUUAGAACAAAAUCAAAAGUUAACUUCCGUUGAAUAUAAUGAAACAAUACAAGUCAAUCACGGUGAUGAAAUGUUAUCAGAUGUACAAAUGUAUCAACUGUUGCGGAAGCGACGAUAAUAUUAAUAACAAUAUUAUCAGAAAUAUUUAGAUAAUUAUUAUGCCAACAAUUAUACUAAGAAAAUUCCCAGUUAAAUUGGAGGGGUCACAAAUGGUCCCGCUUAAAACCCAACAACUAGACAGAACUCACUUAGAUAUUUAUAGCAAUAAUAACUAAAUAAAUAUAACCAACAUAAAGCUAUUAAAUAUAAGCAAACAAAUAAGAAAUAAAAUACCAUAGAUUUAACGAGGUUCGGCCAAUUUAGCUUAGUCCUCGGACACUACCAAAUUAAUAUUUCUUCUAGAAAUAUUACAAAGGAGAAGAUUUUGGGAUAAUACAACCAAAGGGAGAGGGGUUCUAUAUAUAACAAACCAAACCACCUCCCUUUCUAUCUUUUCCUAAUGUGGGAUAUUGCCAAUAUUCAACAAAUCUCCACCUUGGUGAUAUUCCACAUCUUCGAACAUCUUCUCAUAACACAAACUUCAAUAGUGUCUUCAAAUUUGCGACCAAUCGCCUUCUUCCCUUUUGGUAGUUGUGCCAGCUUCCACGUCUUGUUUUUCUCUAGAGAUUGCAUUUCCUCUUCCAUUGCACCUAACCAUCUAUUAUUCUCUAAACUCUGAAUGGCUUCGGUGUAAGUGGAUGGAAUAUUAUCAACAACUGGAAGUGCAUAAGCUACCAUGUCAGUGAAACGAACAGGUUUCUGAAUUUCUCGUCUCUGCCUUCUGACUGCAAUUGGCUCUGAUUGCUGUUGAGGUUCUUGGGUAGAAACCUCUUCCUCAUCUGACUCUGCAUCUGCCAAUGAAGAAUCACUAGUGGUACCUUUUGCUGGAAUUACCACACUCUGCUCAAACUCCACCUACUGCGGAGUACACUCCACCUGCUGCGAAGUACUACUCACUCCUUCUGGAUUUACCUUAUUCAACAUGGCAGAUUCAUGAAAGGUAACAUCCCUACUGAUUAUCGUCUUCUUUGCCUCUAGACACCACAAACGAUAUCCCUUAACACCAGCAUUGAAGCCCAUGAAUAGAGCCUUCUUUGCUCUUGGAUCUAACUUUGAUUCUUUCACAUGAUAAUAUGCAAUAGAACCAAAAAUGCGCAAGGUGUCAUAAUCAGUAGCAGGUUUUCCAUACCAUUUCUCCAAAGGAGUCUUGCCAUUUAUAGCAGAUGAUGGCAAAUGAUUGAUGAGAUGUUGAGCGUACGUCACAGCCUCAGUCCAAAACUUUCUAUCUAAUCCAGCAUUAGAUAACAUACAUCGAACUUUCUCCACAAGCGUUCGAUUCAUACGCUCUGCCACCCCAUUCUGUUGCGGUGUUCCACCUACGGUGAAGUGCCUUACUAUGCCACAAUCUUGGCAUAUCUUCAGGAAAAGAUCGCUUUUAUAUUCUCCACCGUUGUCUGAUCGGAGAACCUUAAUCUUCCUUCCUGUCUGAUUUUCAACUUUAGUUUUCCACUUAAGGAAAACUUCAAGCACCUCAUCUUUGUUCUUCAUAGGAAACACCCAAACUCGUCUGGAAAAAUCAUCAAUAAAGGUGACAAAAUAACGUCUUCCUCCAAGUGAUGGAGUCUUGGACGGUCCCCAUACAUCAGAAUGCACAUAAUCCAGAAUACCUUUAGUAUUGUGAAUCCCAGUGCCAAAUUUCACCCUUCGUUGUUUUCCCAGAACACAAUGCUCGCAAAAUUCAAGUUUGCAAGUCUUUGUACCUUUCAAUAAUCCUUGCUUGGCUAGAGUUUGCAAGGAUUUUUCACCAGCAUGGCCCAAACGCAUAUGCCACAGCUGUGUUGCCUCAGCGUCCUUCUUGGUACUCGUAAUUGCUGCUGCUGUUGUCCCGACCACUGUACUACCUUGGUAGUAAUACAGAUUGUUCUUUCUUAUGCCUUUCAACAUCACCAAUGCUCCUGAAGUUGCUUUAAGAACUCCAUCUCGUAUUGUCACAACUAGGCCUUUAGAUUCUAACGACCCCAAAGAGAUGAGAUUCUUCUUCAACUUUGGGACAUAUCGUACAUCCCGCAAAAUUCUAGUAGAUCCAUCAUGACUCCUCAGUUUAAUUGAACCUAUCCCGGCUAUUUUACAUGUGUUAUCAUUACCCAUGUAAACAACCCCUUCAUCUAGUUUUUGAAAUUCAAAGAACCAUUCCCGAAUGGGACACAUAUGAUAGGAACAACCAGAAUCCAUGAUCCACUCAUCUGCAUAUAAUGUUGAAGAUGUCAUACUAAGAGAAAAGUCUGACUCUGCUUCACUAUUGCAUUCUGCAACAUUUGCAUCUUGCGGAGUCUUCCCUUUUUUCUUCAAUUUUGGACAAUCUUUCUUCCAAUGUCCUUUUUCUUUGCAAAAAAAAACAUUCAUCUUUGGCAACAGCUCGACCUUUGGACUUUCUUCUCUUCCCCUUAGACUGACUUUGCUGACGACCUCUUGUUACCAAUGCUUCCACUGCUGCUUCACCUGAACCUUUCAACUUAUCCUUUCGGCGUAGUUCAUAGCUAUACAAUGCAGCAGUUACUUCAUUGAAAGUUACUUCCGAUUUUCCAUGAAGUAGAGUAGUUUCAAGGUACUCAAACUCCUCAAGAAGCGAUCCCAACAACAUUAACGCCAAGUCUUCGUCUUCAAAAGUCACAUCCAAAUUCAACAAAUCAGCCACCAGCUGAUUAAAAUUGGUAAUGUGCUCGUUCAUCGUGGUACCAGGAACAUAAUUGAAACGAAACAGUCUUUUCUUCAUAUGCAACUUAUUUUGACUGUUCUUCUUCAAGAAUUUCUCCUCCAAUGCUUUCCACAAUUUACUUGCAGAAGUCUCUUUACUGAAUGUAUACUUUUGCUCUCUGGAAAGACAUGAUCGAAUUGUACCACAUGCCAAUCGGUUGAUGGUCUUCCAUUCUUUAUCAUCAACCCCUUCUGGUUUUUCUUCCUCAAUGGCAAUAUCUAGACCUUGUUGAAAGAGGGCAUCUAAAAGCUCGCUUUGCCACAUGCCGAAAUGACCUGUUCCAUCAAAAAUUUCCACUGCAAAUCUCGUAUUUGCAGUUCCAACCCUCGACAAAAUGUACGAAGUGGAAGUUGUUGAUAUGGAUGGUUUUUCUUCUGUCAUUUUUGCCAUAGCUUCUAUUUAAUAGCCACCAAAUGCGGAAUACCCACAAGCUUUCGGAAAUGUUUCUGAUGUGUAAGAUCAAACUAAGCUGCAAACACAGAGCAUACUACAAAACCUUGGCUCUGAUACCAAUUGUUGCGGAAGCGACGAUAAUAUUAAUAACAAUAUUAUCAGAAAUAUUUAGAUAAUUAUUAUGCCAACAAUUAUACUAAGAAAAUUCCCAGUUAAAUUGGAGGGGUCACAAAUGGUCCCGCUUAAAACCCAACAACUAGACAGAACUCACUUAGAUAUUUAUAGCAAUAAUAACUAAAUAAAUAUAACCAACAUAAAGCUAUUAAAUAUAAGCAAACAAAUAAGAAAUAAAAUACCAGAGGUUUAACGAGGUUCGGCCAAUUUAGCUUACGUCCUCGGACACUACCAAAUUAAUAUUUCUUCUAGAAAUAUUACAAAGGAGAAGAUUUUGGGAUAAUACAACCAAAGGGAGAGGGGUUCUAUAUAUAACAAACCAAACCACCUCCCUUUCUAUCUUUUCCUAAUGUGGGAUAUUGCCAAUAUUCAACAUCAACAACUUAUUGGGAGAUUGUUGUACUUGACUCACACAAGGCUAGAUAUUGCUUUUGCAAUUCAACACUCAAGUUAGUUCAUGCAACGACCAAAAAAGUCACACUAUGAGGCAGCACUAUGAAUAGUAAGAUAUGUGAAGAAAGAUCUCAGGAGAGGGUUGUUUUUUCUGGUAAAUGGAUCCACACAAUUAAUAGCAUAUUGUGACUUGGAUUGGGCAUCUUGUCCAAUAUUGAGAAAGUCAAUUACAUGAUUUUGUGUUAAAUUGGGAGAUUCAUUGAUCUCGUGGAAAAAAAAACCAUCUCAAGGUCAUCAGCUGAGGCCAAAUACAAAAGCAUGGCCUUGACAAUAUUUGAAAUUGUAUGGUUGAGAAGGUUAUUAGACAAGCUUGGUGUUAAAGACAGGGAACCAACAACGUUAUUCUGGAAUAAUAAAGCAGCAAUUCAAAUAGCAAAUAAUCUUGUCUUUCACGAGAGAACAAAACAUAUAGAAAUUGAUUGUCUCUUUGUGAGAGAAAAAAUACAAAGAGGGUUGGUUCACACUGAGUAUGUGUCAACAAAAGAUCAACUUGCAUAUUUUCUAACAAAAGGACUUGGAUUCAUAGCAUGAACACUUAGUUGGCAAGUUAGGCAUGAAAGAUUUAUUUCACUCUCACCCACCAACUUGAAGGGGAGUGUGGAAGUUGUAAAUAUGAUUAGGCAAUUAUUAAGUUUAUUCAUUAAACUAUUAGUAGAAUGGUGUAUAUUAAUCAACUAUUGUAAGCUUAUUGAAUUGAAUCGAGUAAGAAAUUCUUUUACUCUUGAAUCAAUUGUUUUCCUAAUUCAAUCGAUUGUUCUCUUUGUUUAAUAGAUUAUUCUCUCAUUUCAAUCGAUUGUUUUCUUGUUUUAAUCCUCAGCCACCUCGAUAGGUAGGUAAAAUAAAUUAUAAUUUUAUUUUAAAUAUAAUAUAUAUUCUAAAAUUAAAAUAUUACUAUUACAUAGAAGUAACUUUUUGGACUUAUAUACAAGUGUGUUUGAAAAGUCAUAUGUAAAUUGGAUUUCAGUAUAAUGAUUAGUAACUAUUCACUUAAUUACCCCCAAUUCUCACAUUCUCUUAAAAAUUAAAAAUUGUAAUUAAAGUACCCUAAUUAAACUUGAUUAAAUAAACUCCUUAAUUAUAAUAAUUACUAAAAACAUAUUAUAUAUAAUUACAAAUAAUUACACGUAAGUAACAAAAUUAAUGUUGCUAUAAUUAAACAAUAUUCAUCGUAUUUUUUAGGGCUUCAAUUAUGGUCAUGAUGUAUCUUAUCUGUUUCUCUGCAUGAUUACCGAUUAAGUUGUGAAAUUUUCAUUAUGUGUGAUGAUAAUUUCUUUUCAUAUAAUUAUACUAUCACACAAAUUAAAUCUACCAAUUCAUCUUAUGUUUUGGGAUAAAAUGAAACCAAUAAAUCUACUAUCCUAACUGCAUUACAUCUUCUCAUGAUUAUGGAUUCAAUUUGAAGUUCAAGAAUAUAUAUAAUUCUCCUAAUAAUAAUUUUUCUGGCCUUUCAAUUUUAUACAAAAUAAAUCAUUUUAACUUUCCGUUUAAGUUUUCGUCUUUUUUAUUCUGUCAAAUCAUCCCAAAAUAGAUGGAAAAAUUUAACUUUGUUAACUUUGCUGAUGUGGCAUACACGUUGAUUGCCACGUGGAUGACUACAUGUCAACAUUUAAUUGAAUUUUUAAAAUUUAAAAGAUAUAAAAAAUAUUUUUAAUGAUUUUAAUUUUAAAAAAUAUUUUGUUGAAUUUUUUAAAAUUUAAAAUUUAAUUAAAUGCUGAUGUAUCAUCCACGCGUAUGCCAUGUUAGAAAGUUAAAAAAAACAUUAACUUUGAUAGAAAAACAAAUUUAAAAGCUAAAAGAAGAGAAUCCUAGCUAAAAUAAGGAACCUAAUUAAAGUUAGGGAGGAUAAGGAUAAGAUAAUAAAAUAUGAGGAUGAUUAUAAUGUAUAAUUAGAGGGCAAAUUAAAAAAAGGAUUUGGGCUUAAAACUUGACAAAAUUGGCACACCCCAGUUGGGAAAACAACAAGAAGCAUGCUUUAUGAGUACAUUACGUCUUAAUAUCCAUUAAUUGUUGGCUGCUUAACCCACAAGUAAAAGCUUUGGAUAUAUGUAAAUUCCAUUUUUCUUUGCUAACGUUGUCGAGUUUCAGCGGUAAUCAUUUCUAAAUUGAUGCAAGUAACAAGCUUUCAUUACUUUUAUCUCACUAAUUCUCUUGAAUGAACAAAAUAACAGAUUUGAGUUUUAAAAAUAGGAUAAACAUGUAUAUAUAAUUAUAGCUGUCAUGAUUAUUUAUUAAUUUAUUGAAUGCAAUCUAUCUAAAGUUGAAAUAUACGUAAUUAUCAUACUAAUGAUGGGUUUGGAUGGGCGAUUGAGUGCGGUGCGUUGCGUUUAGCUUACUUUUUGUCUCACGCUACAGUAUCGCUACAGUAUCUAAUCUCACCACCACCACUGUUUUUACACUAACUGCAGGUAAACGCACUGUCCAUCCAAACUCACUCUAAAUCUCAAAUAAUUCAUACACAAUUUAUUUAGUCAAUGAACUCAUGUUCCUAAAUAUUGCAAAAUAGUUACACUAGAAUAGUGUCAAUCUUUAAUUUUAAGGUCGAAACUUAUUUUGGUAUAAUGUCAUUAAUUUUUAACGUUUGUAUUUUUUUUUUGUUAAUUUGAUUAUUUUUUUAGUUAAAUGUGACUUUCAAUUUUUUAGAAAGAGUCACAUUUGGUAUUCACUCUUUCAAAACGAGAUUCUUUUUUUUUAAUGGAACCAUACAAGGGAAAAAUAACAAACCCUCAUUAGAUGGUGAAGAGCAAGCUCUAUCAACACAAUAAAGGCUUUAGCCUCAGCAUCAAUAGAGCAUCAUGACACGCUGACAAUCGGCUUUGCCACAACUCAAGACGACAUAUCUGGAGUGAUUGCAAGCUCUUAAUACGAUAUGAAAAUUAACCUUGGAUGGUCCAAAGCGGCGAGCAAAAAUCGACAAAAGAAUCGAGUAUUCACCAAACUAGAGAGGACGACAACAAAAUCAACCCUAAAAUCACUAGUAAAAUUAAGGUUACCUGCGUAAGUAAGAAUAAAAAAUGUGCUACAAAAGCAGACAAAAACUUCUAAAACUAAAAACUUAUUAAACAAUGGAAAAAGAAACAAAAAAUAUAUAAACCUCAAGACAACAUGGGUCCAAAUCGACUCGUGAAGUCAUUUAUUAUUCUGAAAUACUCUCAAAACAAAAACAUAUUAAGAACUUGAAGAAGAGCCAUCCACUUUUCAAGAAAAAUUACUGGUAGCCAGUGGAGUUUUAGCAAACGACAAGCAUCGUCAUCUGUCCAUCACAACUUGUGAAGACAAUAAAGUACCCACAAAAUAGAUCUGCAAACUGAAAAGAGAGAAAAGAUGUGGAGUGAAUGAGAAGAAGAAAGAAAUAAAGGGUUGGUGGGAGGGAGAAAAAAGCAGGCGAUAGCCAGCCUGGAGGCUGGCACCACCGCUGGGCAAAACUAAAGAUAAGAAACAAAUGGCUUGGAGAAAAAAAUAGAAAAGAAUCUUUCAAAAGAGUUGAAUUAUUUUUUUAAUAGAAAAUACUGACUAAAACGUUAUAUUUUUAAACAUGGUAGCUGGCAUGGCAUAUCACAUGUAUCUCAUGCUAUUUUUCUGAACUUUUAUAUACUUUUUAAUUUUAAAUUAAUUGUUGAUAUGGCAAAUAAAACAAAUAGUGUCAUGUCAACAUGAAUUACACGUGGACUAUCAUGCAGGUUGCUAUGACAACAUCGUUUAAAAAAUAAUAAUGUUUUAGUCAGAAUUUUUAUUUAAAAAAAUUAACUCUUUUUGAAAGGUUAAUAAUUAAAUUUAUCUUAAAAAAAUUCAAAUUAACAAAAAAAUAUAAAUAUUAAUGUCUAAAUGUAACAUUAUGCCUUGUAUUUUCUUGUUAUUGCAUAUUAUUCUAUCUUAAUAUAGUCAUUCAAGUUUAUUACGUGAUAAAAUUUUCUACCUUCACUUGAUUGUAAUUAUAUCACAUAGGUUAUAUCAUUGAUUGUCUAUGGUGAUAUAUUUAAGUUGGAUUUCUAUAACAAUUAUCAACUAAUUUUAAGUUGAAUGUUAGAGAAAUUUGAGGGUGAUCUAUAAAAGUUGGGGUUGAAAUAUAGUUAGUAGGUGACCGCGAUGCCCACCACAACGUGCCGUUAGGGGAGGUUGCAUGUUGUUGUCUAAGUGUGGCAAAAGAUCCCAUGGUGGUUCUUGCAAACACUCAUCAAGCUGCAUAAUUGGUCACUAAUGGCUUUCGAUUGAAAAAAAUAAUAAUCAUUUCUACGUCUUUAUCUGUAAAAAUGGUCUGCUACUGCUAGCUAGCAUGUGAAAAUACGAAUGCUACAAAACACAGGCUGAUGAAGAAACAUUAUCAAUUUUGGGGCCAAGGAAUCCGACACAACAAUAAUCCCACUUUCUCGAGGGUUUGGCAAAGUUCAUUCUAACAAUCAAAUGUGCUAUUAUGUACUAUCUUUUAACAAUGACUCUUGUUCCUUUCUCCCACACUUCUCAAUGAUGCUUAAGGAUGUAAGGAUUGUGACCAAAUAUUGUGCCAUCAGUAAUUUAUGGAUAACAAUGAUUCAAUUUUUUUUUUUAUAAAAAAAGGUCAUAAUUAAUGUGUAUUCUUGUAGUUUUCUAAAAAUCAAAUUGAAUAUCACAACUUAUCUGAAUUAAAAAAAUUAACUAAAUAUAAUUAAAUAAUAUAAAUUCAAACUAAAAUAAAAUUGAAACGAAAUCCAAAUUGAAUAUUAGAGUUUAUCAUAUUUUAAUUUUUGUGAGUCGUAGGGAAAUCUAAAGGACCCCAAAUCUGAUCAUAUAUAUAAUUAGUAGUAGUAAUAGACAGCACAUGGCUGCCUUUAAGUAAAAAGAAGGGCAUGAAAGCCGUGUUCCCUCAGUGAAGGGAUUUCCUGUUCCAAUCAAACAUGCUUUGAUAUUGUUGGUAGAUCUCAAACAAUUACUAAUUACAUUUUGGAGUUAUUUGAAUGCUGAAUAAUCACGUUUGAUUCCUUAAAAAGAGCUAUAACACAUCCACAUACUCUUUGGGUCAGCCAUCCUCAUGUGAAUAAAAGGAACCCCCUAACUGUUCGUCAAGCAGAUGGGAAAAGUGUGGCCACUUAUUUGCUGGUAAGUCUACCAAACUUCUAAUUCCUGGUCGGUUAACCUUGUGGGGUUGCAAAUUGCCGAUGAUUAUGUUGAUUACAUAUAGAUUUCGAUAUCAUUUCAUUAUUUCAAGUGAUUGCAGAUGUUGAGAUUCGAAUUUUAAAUUUAAUAGAUAUUUUUUAAAGAUGAUUGUCUAAAUUAAUUUGGAUGCACCGAUUGAAUUCUAAUAUGAUGUGAAAUUUGGAAUUUGGUGAACCAUAAAGUUGAGAUGGUAUAAAAUUGAUGGGAUUUGUACUUUUGGGAGAUUGCACAAGAUUUUCAAAGAGAUUUUCCAAGGAAGAAAAAGGAAUAGUGUUUUAGGGGGUAUAGAAGGCAACAAGCAAGUUGAUUGAUGGAGACACAGAGAAUAUGUGGCUGUGGGCCUUAACUUUAUCUAUAUUUCAAUCUACACCAAUUGGGGGGUUAUGAUUUUGCCCAAAGACGUGCAGAUAAGAUCCAAUUUGUGCCUGACUGGCAUGCUGAUUUUUUUUUUUAACUUUCUUUUCUUACCAAACAAUUAAGGAUCAUUACAUCUUUUUCUUUACCAUAGAAAUAGGUGAUAUGGAUAAUAAUGAAACGUAAAGGAUUUAGCUAACCAGAUUUUUGGUUGUCAACUGGGUUGAUUUUUCGUUUUUGAUCAAUGGUUGAGGGUAAUUUUAAAUGGAGAUUGUGAGGCCUGAAAAAAAGGCUGAAAAGUAAGUCCAUUGACUGAGAAAAGCAAGGCGGCCUACCUAGCCCAACUGCACUCUAGCUUGUGCUUUUAGGAUUAGAGUAUGGACUGUUUGGGUUCUUAAAGUUGGGUCACAACCUAUUAUAUAGAGAUCAUAAGCAGGACAGGUUAAUUUUAAAGCCACAGCUUUUUGUCAUUUAAAAAAAAAAAAAAAAGGUCACAAAUGAAGAGUGUACAUGCCCUUUGUUUGACUUGCUUCAUAUUACCGUUCAUAUCGAUCUAGAAGGUAGAGUUUGAUUAAUUGAAUUUCAAUUAAAUAAAACUAAACACUUGUAAAGUUCUCCAUUCAAAGAUUUAAACAAUUGUAAAGUUUUCUGACAUCCCACCUUAGUUUAAGGAAAAGCCAUUUCCCUGGAUGACAUAUUACUAGUACCCAACGAUUCUAAUAUCAAACAUGGCGGUAGUGUUAUCGUUUAGGACAAUGAAACCAGCCUAAGGUACAUUGGCAUGGAUUUUUGUUAGAUUUAAGAGCCACACAAACAUGCAAUGUGAGCCACCAAGUUUGAGAUUUUUGCUCCCAAUAAGCACAACAAGUGGAGGCAAAGGGGCUUUGAUAUCAGAUUCUGGUUGCCACAUGGCAAAGCACUGGCCAAUUGGGCAUCCACUCUCCUAUCCAUUAUGAUAAACCCCCUGGAAUACAUUAACAGAUUUUAAUAUCCUUGUCUGCCACAAAAACCCCCUCAAUUCCCCCACCUCAUUGUAGGCAAAAUGGCCUCUGUUUGUGCUUCUUCUGCCAUUGCAGCCGUUGCCAUCUCAUCCCCCAGGCAAGCUCUCUUUCCCUUAUUAUUAUCAACCUAUUUUCGAACAAUAUAAACCUAUGUUAUUAAGAAUGAAAGUGAGUGUGGGGAUAUCUAAUUAUGUGCCGACAUGAAUGUCAGAAGAAAAAUAGUAACACAGUUAACCAUGCUAAAUGUCUGCACAUGUAAGUGUAUUAGAAAUGAUUAACUGGUAGUUAACCAUUUAUAAGUGAUCAUGCUACACUGAUCGGGUAGGAAUUUUCCAGCUAUUUACAUGUGAUAGAAUUCUUUGGUUAAAAUGGUGUAAACAAAAACUAGAAAUAAUAGUUGAGGCGAUCAGGUUAUGAUGCGUAAGAAAUGUUUACAGUUCCCAGAGGAGUGGAUCAGUAGUGAGGACAACAAAGGCUUCUUUCCUUACAGGGAAGAAACUUCGAUCAGUCAAAAAGUACACAAAACCAGCAGCAGCCCGAACAGUUCCGGUGUGUGCAGUGGCUGACCCCGACCGACCUCUUUGGUUCCCAGGCAGUACUCCUCCUCCAUGGCUCGAUGGCAGCCUCCCUGGAGACUUCGGUUUUGAUCCUCUAGGCCUUGGUAUAAUCAUGUUUCAUCCAUUGAAUUGAAUCAAGUACCUCACAAAGUUAAAAUCUUUUUUUUUCUGUGCGUGUGUGUGUGUGUGUGUGUGUAAUAUAGGGUUGAAUUUUAUUUUUUAUUUUUCACAGGAUCAGACCCUGAGACCUUGAGAUGGAACGUACAGGCAGAGCUCGUCCAUUGCAGAUGGGCAAUGUUAGGAGCCGCUGGGAUUUUCAUCCCAGAGUUCCUAACCAAAAUUGGCAUUUUAAACACUCCAUCAUGGUACUCUGCUGGAACCGAGGAAUACUUCACUGACACCACCACCCUCUUCAUCGUUGAGCUUAUUUUCAUCGGGUGGGCAGAAGGGAGAAGAUGGGCUGACAUUCUCAAGCCUGGGUGCGUAAACACCGACCCCAUCUUCCCUAACAACAAGCUCACGGGCACCGAUGUUGGGUACCCUGGUGGGCUGUGGUUCGAUCCUCUUGGUUGGGGAACUGGCUCCCCUGAGAAGAUCAAGGAAUUGAGGACUAAAGAGAUCAAGAAUGGUCGAUUGGCUAUGUUGGCGGUAAUGGGUGCUUGGUUCCAACACAUCUAUACUGGCACUGGACCCAUUGACAACCUUUUCGACCACCUCGCCGAUCCUGGUCACGCCACCAUUUUUGCUGUAAGUUCAUCCCCUCAAAAACCAAUUCCAUUUGUAGUGUUUAGUUUCAGUUUGGAUAGAUUAUUCAAUUUGAAUCGGUUUUGGUUGAAUUAUUAUUCAAGUAUAUUCUAUUUGGUUAUGUUUUUGAUUCAGAGGUUAAAGCUUUAGGAGUUAAAAUUUUAAUGCCAUAUAUAGAUGCUGUCAAUAAACACCUUUACUUUGAAUCAAAUUUGUUGUCUUCCUAAGGGUCGGACUAACUGGUGUUGGUUGUCCAUGUCAGGCUUUCACUCCCAAGUGAGACAGGAUUAAGAGACAACCUUUAAGAGCGAUUAAAAUGUUGGGAUGACAAUGAUGAUCAUACCAUUCCAUACGUUGGAAGAAGAGCGGAAGACUUGUAAUGUUGUGGGGGAAUGUUUGUAUUAGUAGAAACUGUAAUGCCUCUGUUUGUAUUGUAGAUGUUAUAGUG